AUCUUUUUCUGGAGAUUGCUCCUCUUGGAGUUUUUUUCUGUGAGCCUAGGACACAGGUGGUAGGGAUCAAGCACAUACAUACAUCCAUGAGCACUCUGUAUUCAAAAAAACAGAGCCAAAAAACAUUCAUCAUGUUGAUAUCAUUGCUGCUAGCACCCACCAGAGGAAGAGCAAGUGACCCUGCAAGAAGAAAAAUUACAUUCUCCUGACAAAGCCUGAAUUUAAGCCUGCUUUACACAGAAUGUGAAGCCAGAUUUUCAGAAGAGGCCAACCCAAGAACAAACUACAUUACCAGAAUGAAAAAACACCACUAUACACAGAUCUGGAAAGAGUGAAAAGUGCCUCAAACCCCUAAGGAAAAGGGAAGGACAAGGUUGACAAAACUCCUAACUGGAAAGGAGCUUUAUCCCAGGAAUUACUGGGAACUCUGACAUGACUGGAAAAAGAAGAAAUAUCAGCAGCCUUUGAAAUGAUCUGGAAAAGGAAGGACAUGAGGAGGAAUAGAAGAAAAGAAGAUGAAAGGCAUGAAGUAUGCAGAAAAAUGAUGAGAAGUUUGGCUUUAGGAUGAUAAAGUAAAUUAGAGAGAAGAGGGAAACAAAAAAUCACAGAAUAGAGCUUGAAAUGAGACACAUACUAGAGGGAAUGAAAAUAAGAAAACAAACUGAAAAAAAAAGGAGGAAAGGAAAUGAACCAUUUAUGUCACUUGCCUAGACCCAGGUGAGGGACAAAUUGUACUGUGGAAUAGUAUGAGGAGUGAUGAAAUAGAAAUGAAAAUAACUAAAGAAUAGAGAGUCUACCUAGAAACUGCAGAACUGUUCCUUUUGAGGAGCAAAAUCAUAGGAGUGCAAUAAUCAUAUCUUUGCAUCUAGCCAUACAUUAAAAAAAAAACAUACAGCAAAACAAAACAACAAAGAAAAAACACACUUCCUUUUUUUUAAAGAUAUGAACCCUAAAAUAAAAAAUCAAAGUAUUCCAAACUAAUAAACAAAUAUUGUAAUUCUAGUUGUCAUGACUUUAAUGCUCAUAAAAAACAAACAUGCAAAAACAUAUUGGUGAUCUUUUCCAACCUGAGAAAUUCUAUGAUUCUAUUCUAUGUUGGUAGCACUUUUGAUCUUUUUGAAAAAAAAGAUUUUUUUAAUUUGUUGUAACUACAUGAGCAACUGUUCAAAAAAUUCUCCUGGCUUGAUUGGCUCAGCAAUGAUUUGGGGAACCUGCUCUCGGGUUUCAGAUGUAGACUGCGGUUUCAGUUCUGUUUUUUAUUUAAUCUCAUUCCUAAAUUGUCAGUGUGAAUUCCAGUUAAUGAAAGUUAUGGUGGUGUCAGAACUCCUUUCUCUUCACCCUUGCUCCCAUUUCAUUUUACAUAUCAUUUCCCACAGUGUAUUUAUAUUGCUCAAUUAAUAAAUACAAGUUGCGUAUGUCUUCCUUCUGUAGUUUAGUUAGAGAGGAUUGCUCAGCCCAUUUUAGAAACCACAUAUGACCAAAACACUGGUGAUAUCUCUGUUUACUUCUGAGUUUAGAUUAGCUCUCACUAGGACUGUGAUGUCCUCCAAGGCACCCCUUGACUGAGACUGUCAGAGCAGAGAUGAGGAUAAGAGGAUGUUAAGCAUAGAUCCUGCUCCAGGAGAGGAUGUCUCAUGGGGCUGACUU
ensembl:lncRNA